AUGGCGGAUGCCUUGGCUCUCGGAGGCGAUGAAGGACGUGAUAAGCUGCGAUAAGCUUCGGGUAGGUGCAAAUAACCCUUGAUCCGAAGAUUUCCGAAUGGGACAACCUAGCCGUCUGAAGGACGGUUACUCUUACCAAGUAAGAGAGCUAACGCAGGGAACUGAAACAUCUUAGUACCUGCAGGAAGAGAAAAUAAAUGAAUGAUUCCCCCAGUAGUGGCGAGCGAACGGGGAACAGCCCAAACCAGUGGCGUCGCAAGGCGUGGCUGGGGUUGUAGGACCGCGACAUUGUACUGAAAUGGUGAGUGGAAGUAUCUGGAAAGUUACAUCACAGAAGGUGAUAAUCCUGUACACGAAGCCAGAUCAGGCAUAGCGGUAUCCUGAGUAACGCGGGACACGAGGAAUCCUGCGCGAAUCUGCCGGGACCAUCCGGUAAGGCUAAAUACUCCCGUGAGACCGAUAGCGAACGAGUACUGUGAAGGAAAGGUGAAAAGAACCCCGAGCAGGGGAGUGAAAUAGUUCCUGAAACCAUACGCCUACAAGCGGUCGGAGCAUCGUAAGAUGUGACGGCGUGCCUUUUGCAUAAUGAUCCUACGAGUUACCGUCACUGGCGAGGUUGAGUGUCACGAGACACGUAGCCGCAGUGAAAGCGAGCCUGAAUAGGGCGCACAGUCAGUGGGGGUAGACGCGAAACCAAGUGAUCUACACUUGGCCAGGAUGAAGUCCCGGUAACACGGGAUGGAGGUCCGCACCAAUAAGCGUUGAAAAGCUUCUGGAUGAGCCGAGUGUAGGAGUGAAAGGCCAAUCAAACUUGGAGAUAGCUCGUACUCCCCGAAAGGCAUUUAGGUGCCGCGUCGGAUGGUCACCGUGAGAGGUAGAGCGACCGAUAGGACAAGAGGGCUUCACCGCCUAUCGAGUCCUGACGAACUCCGAAUGCUCACGGUCUGCAGUCCGGCAGUAAGGGGGCGGGUGCUAAGGUCCGUCCCCGAGAGGAGAAGAAUCCAGACCGCCGUCUAAGGUCCCGGAGUUCUGCCUGAGUUAGUCUAACGAAGUCUGGUCCCUAUGACAGCUAGGAUGUUGGCUUGGAAGCAGCCAUUCAUUCAAAGAGUGCGUAACAGCUCACUAGUCGAGGGUCCGGGCAUGGAUAAUAAUCGGGUAUAAGGCAGACACCGAAGGCGCGGGAUAGCAAUUAUAAAAGUAUCGGUAGGGGAGCAUACUCACAGCGUCGAAUGGUGUACGUAAGUUAUCCUGGAGCGGUGAGUAAAGCAAAUGUAGGAAUAAGUAACGAUAAGGAGGGUUAGAUUCCCUCCCGCUGUAAGACCAAGGUUUCCCGGGCAAUGCCAAUCAGCCCGGGGUCAGUCGGGUCCUAAGUCUAAGCCGAACGGCGAUGGCGAUGGCAGAGACGGUUAAUAUUCCGUCACUGCCGCAUGGGGCGACGUGGAGACGGAGCAGUGAAACCACCGCGGGGCGACGGAAGUCCCCGUUGAAGGGUGUAGGCGUUGAGGAUGGCAGGCAAAUCCACCAUCCGAGCUGAACCUGACAGUACGGAGUCCUCCUCGGAGGAAUCUGAUAGUGUGGGUAAUCAUACUCCCGAGAAAAUCCGCUAAGCUUAACCCAUGCGGCACCCGUACCGCAAACGGACACACGUGGUCGGGUAGAACAUACUAAGGCGUUGAGAGAUUCAUGGUUAAGGAACUAGGCAAAUUGACCCUGUAACUUCGGGAUAAAGGGUCCUCGUGAUGAGCGAGGCGCAGAGAAUAGGUCCAGGCAACUGUUUAACAAAAACACAGGGCUGUGCAAACUCGAAAGAUGACGUAUACAGCCUGACACCUGCCCGGUGCCGGAAGGUUAAGAGGAGAUGUCACUCGCAAGAGGAAGCAUUGAAUUGAAGCCCCGGUAAACGGCGGCCGUAACUAUAACGGUCCUAAGGUAGCGAAAUUCCUUGUCGGGUAAGUUC
rnacentral:rRNA from 1 species